AGGCCACCCUGGAGCACCUGGGGCUGGCCCGGUGUCCCCAGGUGAGCGAGAGGGGCCUGGCCACGCUGCACCACCUCAGGUGAGACACCUGUGUCACCUGUGUGUCACCUCAGUGUCACCUGUGUGUCACCUGUGUCACCUGUGUCACCUGUGUGUCACCUGUGUCACCUCAGUGUCACCUCAGUGUCACCUGUGUGUCACCUGUGUGUCACCUGUGUCACCUGUGUCACCUGUGUGUCACCUGUGUCACCUCAGUGUCACCUGUGUCACCUCUGUGUCAUCUCAGUGUCACCUGUGUCACCUGUCACCUGUGUCACCUGUGUGUCACCUCAGUGUCACCUCAGUGUCACCCCGUGUCACCCGUGUGUCACCCCAGUGUCACCUGUGUCACCUGUGUCACCUGUGUGUCACCUGUGUGUCACCCGUGUGUCACCCGUGUGUCACCCUGUGUCCCCGGUUGUUCCCUACAGGCAGUCCCGGUGUCUCUCCGGUUGUUCCCCAUUGGUCACGGUCUCUCUCCGGUUGUUCCCCAUUGGUCACGGUGUCUCUCCGGUUGUUUCCCUGGCAGUCACGGUGUCUCUCCGGUUGUUUCCCGGCAGUCACGGUGUUUCCGGUUGUUCCCCAGUGGUCACGGUGUCUCUCCGGUUGUUCCCCGGCAGUCACGGUGUCUCUCCGGUUGUUCCCCAUUGGUCACGGUCUCUCUCCGGUUGUUCCCCUGUGGUCACGGUGUCUCUCUCCGGUUGUUCCCUACAGGCAGUCACGGUGUCUCUCCAGUUGUUCCCUGGCAGUCACAGUGUCUCCGGUUGUUCCCCAUUGGUCACGGUGUCUCUCCGGUUGUUCCCCGGCAGUCACGGUGUUUCUCUCCGGUUGUUCCCCAGUGGUCACGGUGUCUCCGGUUGUUUCCCCGGCAGUCACGGUGUCUCUCCGGUUGUUCCCCGGCAGUCACGGUGUUUCCGGUUGUUUCCCCGGCAGUCACAGUGUCUCUCCGGUUGUUUCCCUGGCAGUCACGGUGUCUCUCUCCGGUUGUUCCCCGGCAGUCACGGUGUUUCCGGUUGUUCCCCAUUGGUCCCGGUGUCUCUCCGGUUGUUUCCCCAUUGGUCACAGUGUCUCUCCGGUUGUUUCCCAUUGGUCACAGUGUCUCUCCGGUUGUUCCCUACAGGCUGUCCCGGUGUCUCCGGUUGUUCCCCAGUGGUCACGGUGUCUCUCUCCGGUUGUUCCCCCAUUGGUCACGCUGUUUCUCUCCGGUUGUUCCCUACAGGCAGCUGCGCUCUCUGGACCUGGCGGGGCUGUCCCGGUCUCUCUCCGGUUGUUCCCCGGUGUCCCCCGGUCUCUCUCCGGUUGUUCCCCAUUGGUCACGGUGUCUCUCCGGUUGUUCCCCAGUG
rnacentral:lncRNA from 1 species